rnacentral:misc_RNA from 1 species
AACUCUGAUGUGUAUCUCCCCUCACCUCCCUGUGUGCCUCCCAAUUUUUUUAGCUCUAAUUGUUGUCUUCUGUAUUGAGCUAUUGUAUGUUAUAGUCUUCCUUUGAUGAUUUCUCUUCUGGAAGUUAUAAUUACUGGUUUGUUUACUGUUUGUGUGAAGAAGUUGACUUUAAACACAAAUUUAUUCUCAGACUUGGACGGGACAAGGUU